rnacentral:rRNA from 1 species
GAUGAACGCUGGCGGCGUGCCUAAUACAUGCAAGUCGAGCGAACAGACGAGGAGCUUGCUCCUCUGACGUUAGCGGCGGACGGGUGAGUAACACGUGGAUAACCUACCUAUAAGACUGGGAUAACUUCGGGAAACCGGAGCUAAUACCGGAUAAUAUGUUGAAUCGCAUGGUUCAACAGUGAAAGACGGUCUUGCUGUCACUUAUAGAUGGAUCCGCGCCGCAUUAGCUAGUUGGUAAGGUAACGGCUUACCAAGGCAACGAUGCGUAGCCGACCUGAGAGGGUGAUCGGCCACACUGGAACUGAGACACGGUCCAGACUCCUACGGGAGGCAGCAGUAGGGAAUCUUCCGCAAUGGGCGAAAGCCUGACGGAGCAACGCCGCGUGAGUGAAGAAGGUCUUCGGAUCGUAAAACUCUGUUAUUAGGGAAGAACAAAUGUGUAAGUAACUAUGCACGCCUUGACGGUACCUAAUCAGAAAGCCACGGCUAACUACGUG